CAUUCAUUCAAAGAGUGCGUAAUAGCUCACUGGUCAAGUGGUCCUGCGCCGAAAAUGUAUCGGGGCUCAAGCCCAUCACCGAAGCCUGGGAAGUAGCUUUUUGGCUACUUGGUAGGGGAGCGUUCCCUGGCGAGCGAAGUAGGACCGUAAGGACCUAUGGACGGCAGGGAAGAGAGAAUGCCGGUAUGAGUAGCGACAAGGCAGGUGAGAAUCCUGCCCGCCGAAAGCCUAAGGUUUCCUGAGGAAGGGUCGUCCACUCAGGGUAAGUCGGGGCCUAAGCCGAGGCCGGAUGGCGUAGGCGAUGGACAAUCGGUUGAUAUUCCGAUACCACCCUGGAACCGCCCAUGGGGAGCUCACUUGAGUGCGAGGGGUUACGGCCUCUGGCAUGAGGGUGUGUGACUCAAGCGAUGGGGUGACGCAGGAGGGUAGGCCAUCCGGGUGUUGGACGUCCCGGUACAAGCCCGUAGGCGGGGAAGAGAGGCAAAUCCCUUUUCCUGAUAACGCCGAGAGGUGAUGUGGAGGGAGAAAUCCCGCAAACUGGU
rnacentral:rRNA from 1 species